AGGUAAGCUACUAAGAGCGAAUGGUGGAUGCCUUGACUGGUAAAGGCGAUGAAGGACGUACUAGACUGCGAUAAGCUACGGGGAGCUGUCAAGAAGCUUUGAUCCGUAGAUUUCCGAAUGGGGCAACCCAAUGUAUAGAGAUAUACAUUACCUAUAUAGGAGCGAACGAGGGGAAUUGAAACAUCUUAGUACCCUCAGGAAAAGAAAUCAAUAGAGAUUGCGUCAGUAGCGGCGAGCGAAAGCGCAAGAGGGCAAACCCAGUGCUUGCACUGGGGGUUGUAGGACUGCAAUGUGCAAGAGGUAAGUUUAGCAGAACAUUCUGGAAAGUAUAACCAUAGAGGGUGAUAGUCCCGUAUGCGAAAAACAAACCUUAGCUAGCAGUAUCCUGAGUAGGGCGGGACACGAGGAAUCCUGUCUGAAUCCGGGUCGACCACGAUCCAACCCUAAAUACUAAUACCAGAUCGAUAGUGCACAAGUACCGUGAGGGAAAGGUGAAAAGAACUGAGGUGAUCAGAGUGAAAUAGAACCUGAAACCAUUUGCUUACAAUCAUUCAGAGCCCUAUGUAGCAAUACAGGGUGAUGGACUGCCUUUUGCAUAAUGAGCCUGCGAGUUGUGGUGUCUGGCAAGGUUAAGCAAACGCGAAGCCGUAGCGAAAGCGAGUCUGAAUAGGGCGCUUAGUCAGAUGCUGCAGACCCGAAACGAAGUGAUCUAUCCAUGAGCAAGUUGAAGCUAGUGUAAGAACUAGUGGAGGACUGAACCCAUAGGCGUUGAAAAGCCCCGGGAUGACUUGUGGAUAGGGGUGAAAGGCCAAUCAAACUUCGUGAUAGCUGGUUCUCUCCGAAAUAUAUUUAGGUAUAGCGUUGUGUCGUAAUAUAAGGGGGUAGAGCACUGAAUGGGCUAGGGCAUACACCAAUGUACCAAACCCUAUCAAACUCCGAAUACCUUAUAUGUAAUCACAGCAGUCAGGCGGCGAGUGAUAAAAUCCGUCGUCAAGAGGGAAACAACCCAGACUACCAGCUAAGGUCCCUAAGUCUUACUUAAGUGGAAAACGAUGUGAAGUUACUUAAACAACCAGGAGGUUGGCUUAGAAGCAGCCAUCCUUUAAAGAAAGCGUAAUAGCUCACUGGUCUAGUGAUUUUGCGCGGAAAAUAUAACGGGGCUAAAGUAAGUACCGAAGCUGUAGACUUAGUUUACUAAGUGGUAGGAGAGCGUUCUAUUUGCGUCGAAGGUAUACCGGUAAGGAGUGCUGGAGCGAAUAGAAGUGAGCAUGCAGGCAUGAGUAGCGAUAAUUAAUGUGAGAAUCAUUAACGCCGUAAACCCAAGGUUUCCUACGCGAUGCUCGUCAUCGUAGGGUUAGUCGGGUCCUAAGUCGAGUCCGAAAGGGGUAGACGAUGGCAAAUUGGUUAAUAUUCCAAUACCAACAUUAGUGUGCGAUGGAAGGACGCUUAGGGCUAAGGGGGCUAGCGGAUGGAAGUGCUAGUCUAAGGUCGUAGGAGGUUAUACAGGCAAAUCCGUAUAACAAUACUCCGAGAACUGAAAGGCUUUUUGAAGUCUUCGGAUGGAUAGAAGAACCCCUGAUGCCGUCGAGCCAAGAAAAGUUUCUAAGUUUAGCUAAUGUUGCCCGUACCGUAAACCGACACAGGUGGGUGGGAUGAGUAUUCUAAGGCGCGUGGAAGAACUCUCUUUAAGGAACUCUGCAAAAUAGCACCGUAUCUUCGGUAUAAGGUGUGGUUAGCUUUGUAUUAGGAUUUACUCCGAAAGCAAGGAAACUUACAACAAAGAGUCCCUCCCGACUGUUUACCAAAAACACAGCACUCUGCUAACUCGUAAGAGGAUGUAUAGGGUGUGACGCCUGCCCGGUGCUCGAAGGUUAAUUGAUGGGGUUAGCAUUAG
rnacentral:rRNA from 1 species